rnacentral:tRNA from 1 species
GCCAGAGUCGCUUAGAGGUUGAGCGUCAGCCUGCAGAGUUGAUGACGGGGGUUCAAGUCCCUCCUCUGGCU